AAAGUUCGCUGAGAUUGUUCUGAAUAGGAGUUCCAGUCAUCAAUAACCGCCUUGGGAUAAGAAAACGCUCUAGAAGUACAUUGUACAGAACACUUGACGGGUUUUUAAGUCUCUGUGCUUCAUCAAUGACAGCAUAUUGCCAGGGCAUCUGAGAGAGGAAAUCUUGAUCCAUCAAUGCUAUGUCGUAUGUAGUCAACAGAAUGUCGAAAGGAAACAACACAUCAGAUACUGGUUGCUCUGUUGCAUGCUCAAACAUACGCCUGCGAGCAUCUCGUCUGGUUUCUUUAUCUCCAACAUAUUGAAGAACAUUUAAACA
rnacentral:misc_RNA from 1 species